CUUUCCCUUUGCUCUGUUUCUACCUCUCCCUUUCUGUCUCUUCAAGAUCGUUUUUGGAUCCUUACUGGACAGGACUUGGGGAAGCCGACCUUCUCCUACCGCUCUCUCCCUGCCUGCGCGUGCUCGCCGCUCAAUCUAACGCGGACGUUACUGCCGGCGGCUGAGAACCGGGGGCCGGAGCACAGCGGUGCUGGAACCCACAAACGCGCCGCCCGCGCCCGCGCGCCCCGCGAGCUCGGGUCAAACUGAAUCAACGCCUCUCGACGCUUCUGUGCAGGCGCCGCUGGAGGCGUGUGUGGGGCUCCUGACCCGGCGAGAGGGGCCGCGCUGAGGGGGCUUCGCCACUGGCCCUGGAGGACAGGACCGGAAGAGGCUGAUGUUGACGGGCAGAGCCAAAGGAAGUCUCUACGGCGGCCCAACCCCAGGAUCCUGAGAUUAAAGGUCUCAAACCCUAAAGUCUUAACGGACGAGGGUUGGGAGUUGACUCGAUCUCCACGCCUUUAUCAGGAGAUUCGUUUGCCAAGAUCAGAGACUAAGAAAGAGAAAAGAUUGUGUGGACUAAAGUCCGCAAUUAACCAGAGAGGAAACACGAUUUUGUGCCAGAUUGGACGUGCGGUGUGAGAGAAAGGCCGGCGUCAAGUCUUUUGGCCUGAGCCUGCCAUCAACUAAGGUGGGAAAACUGCAGGUGCAGCAGGUUGUAAGGGAAAGAUCCAGAAUGCAGUUCUGGGGUCCCUCAGCCUUCCUGGAAAGAGUUUUCCAUCCAUGCCGUCUCGGUCCCCGCAUCCCUGAGGGUCCUUUAUGAUGUUGGGGAUCCCAGAGUCUCACCCUGGGCACCUUCCCUCCCGCCCUCUCCUGGCAACUUUUUCCACUCCCCGGCUCCGCCGACCUUCUCUCCACACGUGGGCGCUUCACAGAGGCGCGUCUCCAGGGCAGGUCAGAGGAGCCGCCGGUAAGAGGAAACUGGCUGUGGGACUGGGACUGGCGGACCUGGGGGCCUCGCGGGCGCAUCAGUGUCCCGGCACGGGGCUGGAUGCGUGCUGUGCGGGCUCGCCUUUUGGAGAAAGCAGGGAGGAGAUGGCCUUCAGGAACAAUUCCUUAAAAGGGCAGGCGACACUGGAAAGGGUAGACCCACGAAUUUUUCUUGAGGAACACAGACCAAGGAGUUUAACACUUGCACUUGACGAGUUACAACAGCAGCCAGGGGACCAUUUUAUCUCCUUGACUGGGAGCUCAGGGUGUGCAGAGGUGGAACCAGCCUGUGAAGUCAAUUGGAACAGUGGGAAGGCCUCUCAUUACCUGGGCCAGGAUGAGGGGAAGAGAGGGAUCAGGGGGGCAUGGAGGGAGCAGCCCCACAACAGUAAGCACAGCUCUUCAAUUGCUUUCAGUUUUAAGAGGCCACCUACUCAGUUUCAACAAAGUUUUAGCAACAACUAAAACACCAUUUACGUGGCUGUUUUCGAUCCUUCCUUGUCACUACUCAGCCUCCAAAUGUUCAUUAACUUGUGGGACAGUUGGAGGACCCUUACUCCCCCCCACACACAUAGCCACCACUUAGGCAAGAAGACCUUGGAGAGCCUUCUCGUACUCCCUAACGUAGCCCACACAGUCCCUUCUGUAUUUUCUCCAAGAGGGUAUUGUGACCUUACUGGCCCCACGUUGGACACCAAACCUGUCAAGCAGUCUAGCAGUCCCUAGGCAAUAGUAUAGUGGCAGCUGCUAGGUGCGCUUGUCACAUUUCUGUAGACUUGACCAAUAAGGAGACAAUCUCAAAUGAAUUGAGGUGGUUUAUUGCUUACACACACAGCAUAAACAGGUGUAGCACAUUGUCAGCUCCACACAUCCAUAAUCCCACGGCCUGACACCACACUGGAGGGAUCAGAAGACAAGAAGAUACAAGUGGUGGCUUGCUCUGUUGUGAAGGAGCUAAUUUCAUAUUGCAGCUAAGCAGUUUUAUAGUUUGUAGUUGCACCCUGGGGGUGGGGGUGGAGGGAAGGUAGAAAUUUCCCUGUCUCCCCGGAACCAGGGAGGCAGGUGACAAACUGCCUAGUGGCAGCCUGCUCUAAGACAGGGAACCUCCCACAAGACAUCAGUGAGAAAUAGCCUUCUGAUAGCGCCUCACAAGAUUGUCUAUCUUUCCGUGUUCCAGAAGGGCAUUCGGCCAAGACUUGGGUCAGACUACAGUUGAGCCUGGCCUAUGUGGCCUACAUGGAGAAGUAUAAUGUCAUCAGAGUGUCAUAGCGGAGCCAUUCCCCUGUACCUUGACCCUUGAAAAGGAGCUUGGCUGGAUAUAUCUUCAAUUGGCACUUUCUUGAUAUAAAUUUCUUGAAACUGCUCCUCCCUUGUUGCCUUGCUUUGUAUGUUAAUGCUCAUCUAAUUCUAUUGCUUUUGUAACUUAUUUGAUAGUUUUGCCUGGAGAAACUGAGGAUAUUUUCUUUAUCUGUAAAGUCCAAUAAUUUUACUAUGAUAUUUUCUUGAAGUUGGUCAUCUGGGGUCAAUUCUCCCUGAUAGCUGAUGAGCCCUUUCAGUGUGCCUCAUCCCUUAAGUAACCUAUUGUUUUCCUUUUUAUAAAUCAAGUCUUCUAGAUUGUUCUCUCUAAAGCCUGAUUCCUGUUUAGAGAAAAAUCUUAAAAAACAAGAAAUUAGGCAUUACAUUACAAUUUUUAUUCAACAAAUACAGAGAUUCCCAAAUAAGUUAAAACAAAAUAGUAAAACAACCCUGAUGAUUUCAACACAGUAUUGCGAGCAAAGAACUUAAAAAGAAAUCACUAUCAGUUUAUAAACAAAGUGUAGAAAGACAUAAUAUGUCAGAAUAAGGAAACCUUUGAACAUGAAUAAAUUUAUUAUGAAAAGGAGACAUAUAGCUAGUUUGAAUAUAGGUUUAAAAAACAAAUUUUAAGCUAUUAUUAGAUGAAAAAAUUUUGGAAGAAAAUUAAUGACCCAUUGUCUCUAACCCGUUAACACCCGUUACUCUAAACUUGGCAUCUUUCUGAGAAGCUUCCUAAUGUGUCAUGCGAUGUAAAGAAAACCGGAUAAACCGUCCCUAGAUUCUGUCGCUCAUUUCCUCUUUUGAAAAGUGUAAUUUUCAGGCUCACACCUCUUGACCCACAUUGCCUGGUACACGGAAUCCCCGGAACACCGAUGGGCCCACUGUGGGGACAGGCGGAG
rnacentral:lncRNA from 1 species